UUCCUACGGGGGGCAGCAGUAAGGGAUAUUGGUCAAUGGGGGAAACCCUGAACCAGCAACGCCGCGUGAGGGAAGACGGUUUUCGGAUUGUAAACCUCUGUCCUCUGUGAAGAUGAUGACGGUAGCAGAGGAGGAAGCACCGGCUAAAUACGUGCCAGCAGCCGCGGUAAUACGUAUGGUGCAAGCGUUAUCCGGAUUUACUGGGUGUAAAGGGAGCGCAGGCGGCACGGCAAGCCUGAUGUGAAAGCCCGCGGCCCAACCGCGGGCCUGCCUUGGGAACUACCGGGCUGGAGUGCCGGAGAGGG
rnacentral:rRNA from 1 species